AGGUGAAAACUUAUGAAAAUGCCCCUUACGCAAUACCACAGCGCUAUGCGCGUUGCUAUAAAGCUGCAACAGACUAGGCGCAACGACAAUGCUACUAUACGUUGUGGCACUUGGUUUUUCCCUAGAGGCCAGUUUUCACUAUAGAGCCGUAGCGCUCGUAACUUGACGUGAUCCGUAAGCACGCGUGCGCCUCAUGUCUUGGCGCCAGCAUGCCUUAUACAAGGAAAAUUUGCGGAAUUAGAUCAUUCCAUGUUCAAAUUUUCAACCUCCAGUUCGAUUUCUCUUCUCUUUUAUCAUUCCCAGCCUAUUCUCCUCUGGAAUUUCACUUUCUUUUCUUUAGAUUACAUCUUAGCACAUUAUGAGUGGCUAACGAAGUAUUUUCUAGCUUAGAUAAUUUCAUUCAGGUCAAAGAAGAACUAAAGCUACACAAUGGUAGAAGACAACUAUGGGAUUGAGUGUUUCUCCAAUUGCCACGUCUUAAUGCUGAAGGUAAGACAUAAAGGAGAAAUCACAUGCAGCAUUGAUACUGUGUAGAAGAUGAAGGGAAAGAAGAACAAAGACACAAAGAUUACGUGGUUUGGUGAUGAAAAACACCUAUAUCCACAAGAAGGAAAAACUUCUUGAAGAAUUUCAAAGAUGAGUACAACUCUCAAAUCUCUCUAUCUCUCUAUUUAAUCUCAGAAUUUCACUUUGAUUUAUUUUUUAGAGAUGAAUCUCCUUUUUAUAUUACAAAGAAGAUUUUUUACUGAAUAUGUUAGAGAGGUAUUUUUAACUAAGAGUUACCGUUGGUAUCAUACUUUACAAUCUCCACCUCGAUGCCAACGAACAAAUUUUCUUCUGUUCCUUCCAAUAAUCCUGUUCUAUCCUUUUUCAAGUAGGUCGAAGCUGAUUAGCUCAAAGAAUUUUUUAAACUUGAGCUUGAUCAAUGAAUUGGUCAUCAGGUCUACUACAUUAUCAAAAGAUAAUUCCACUAAGGCCAAAUAAGAACUAAAGCCACACAAGGGUGGACAAUUGUAGGAUUGAGUAUGUCUCCAAUUGCCGCAUCUCAAGGCUGAAGAUAGGCCAAAACGAUAAAGUAAACAAGGAUCCCUUUCUUCAUUUCUGCUCUGUAAAGGAAAACUUUCUUUGUGAACCCCUUCCAAUGGUGAUAUAAAUUUGAUGAACAAGAAAUCACAUGUAAGAUUGAUACUAUGUAGAAGAUAAAGGAGAAGAAGAAUAGAGACACAAAGAUUACAUGGUUCGGUGAUGAAAAACACCUAUAUCCGUGGGAAGAACAACUUCUUAAAGAAUUUCAAAGAUGAGUACAACUCUCUGUUGGAUAUUUCAUUUCUCGACUUCUAUUUUUCCAAGGCAUUAGUUUCUGUAGAUGUCUCAAAAAUUGUCUUAACAUCGGUGUCAGACAACACACUGUUUUUCUACAGAAUAUCUCUUUCUAAUCUGAAAAUAUUCGGCAAACUUGUUUUGCCUGAUAUUUUCCUUUAUUGAGAUGUAGCUUAUCUUCUCCAUAUUGCGAGUUGUUUCAUUUUCUAGAUUCGUUUAUAAAAGAAGUAUUAUGUUGAUUUUUAAA